UACGUAGGGGGCAAGCGUUUGUCCGGAAUCAUUGGGCGUAAAGCGCGCGUAGGCGGCCCGGUAAGUCCGUUGUGAAAGUCAAAGGCUCAACCUUUGAAAGCCGGUGGAUACUGUGGGGCUAGAGUCCGGAAGAGGCGAGUGGAAUUCCUGGUGUAGCGGUGGAAUGCGCAGAUAUCAGGAGGAACACCAAUAGCGAAGGCAGCUCGCUGGGACGGUACUGACGCUAAGGCGCGAAAGCGUGGGGAGCGAACAGG
rnacentral:rRNA from 1 species